UGCCUGGAAAACGGGUUGGAGAUCAC
rnacentral:piRNA from 1 species